CCAACGGCUCUUUUCAGGGCCACCCACGUCUUCUCUAAAAGAACUU
rfam:Gorilla gorilla gorilla genomic chromosome, chr6, whole genome shotgun sequence